GUAAGCUACUAAGAGCGAAUGGUGGAUGCCUUGACUGGUAAAGGCGAUGAAGGACGUACUAGACUGCGAUAAGCUACGGGGAGCUGUCAAGAAGCUUUGAUCCGUAGAUUUCCGAAUGGGGCAACCCAAUGUAUAGAGAUAUACAUUACCUAUAUAGGAGCGAACGAGGGGAAUUGAAACAUCUUAGUACCCUCAGGAAAAGAAAUCAAUAGAGAUUGCGUCAGUAGCGGCGAGCGAAAGCGUAAGAGGGCAAACCCAGUGCUUGCACUGGGGGUUGUAGGACUGCAAUGUGCAAGAGGUGAGUUUAGCAGAACAUUCUGGAAAGUAUAGCCAUAGAGGGUGAUAGUCCCGUAUGCGAAAAACAAACCUUAGCUAGCAGUAUCCUGAGUAGGGCGGGACACGAGAAAUCCUGUCUGAAGCUGGGUCGACCACGAUCCAACCCUAAAUACUAAUACCAGAUCGAUAGUGCACAAGUACCGUGAGGGAAAGGUGAAAAGAACUGAGGUGAUCAGAGUGAAAUAGAACCUGAAACCAUUUGCUUACAAUCAUUCAGAGCACUAUGUAGCAAUACAGUGUGAUGGACUGCCUUUUGCAUAAUGAGCCUGCGAGUUGUGGUGUCUGGCAAGGUUAAGCAAACGCGAAGCCGUAGCGAAAGCGAGUCUGAAUAGGGCGCUUAGUCAGAUGCUGCAGACCCGAAACGAAGUGAUCUAUCCAUGAGCAAGUUGAAGCUAGUGUAAGAACUAGUGGAGGACUGAACCCAUAGGCGUUGAAAAGCCCCGGGAUGACUUGUGGAUAGGGGUGAAAGGCCAAUCAAACUUCGUGAUAGCUGGUUCUCUCCGAAAUAUAUUUAGGUAUAGCGUUGUGUCGUAAUAUAAGGGGGUAGAGCACUGAAUGGGCUAGGGCAUACACCAAUGUACCAAACCCUAUCAAACUCCGAAUACCUUAUAUGUAAUCACAGCAGUCAGGCGGCGAGUGAUAAAAUCCGUCGUCAAGAGGGAAACAACCCAGACUACCAGCUAAGGUCCCUAAAUCUUACUUAAGUGGAAAACGAUGUGAAGUUACUUAAACAACCAGGAGGUUGGCUUAGAAGCAGCCAUCCUUUAAAGAAAGCGUAAUAGCUCACUGGUCUAGUGAUUUUGCGCGGAAAAUAUAACGGGGCUAAAGUAAGUACCGAAGCUGUAGACUUGAUUUUAUCAAGUGGUAGGAGAGCGUUCUAUUUGCGUCGAAGGUAUACCGGUAAGGAGUGCUGGAGCGAAUAGAAGUGAGCAUGCAGGCAUGAGUAGCGAUAAUUAAUGUGAGAAUCAUUAACGCCGUAAACCCAAGGUUUCCUACGCGAUGCUCGUCAUCGUAGGGUUAGUCGGGUCCUAAGUCGAGUCCGAAAGGGGUAGACGAUGGCAAAUUGGUUAAUAUUCCAAUACCAACAUUAGUGUGCGAUGGAAGGACGCUUAGGGCUAAGGGGGCUAGCGGAUGGAAGUGCUAGUCUAAGGUCGUAGGAGGUUAUACAGGCAAAUCCGUAUAACAAUACUCCGAGAACUGAAAGGCUUUUUGAAGUCUUCGGAUGGAUAGAAGAACCCCUGAUGCCAUCGAGCCAAGAAAAGUUUCUAAGUUUAGCUAAUGUUGCCCGUACCGUAAACCGACACAGGUGGGUGGGAUGAGUAUUCUAAGGCGCGUGGAAGAACUCUCUUUAAGGAACUCUGCAAAAUAGCACCGUAUCUUCGGUAUAAGGUGUGGUUCGCUUCGUAUUAGGAUUUACUCCGAAAGCGAAGAAACUUACAACAAAGAGUCCCUCCCGACUGUUUACCAAAAACACAGCACUCUGCUAACUCGUAAGAGGAUGUAUAGGGUGUGACGCCUGCCCGGUGCUCGAAGGUUAAUUGAUGGGGUUAGCAUUAGCGAAGCUCUUGAUCGAAGCCCGAGUAAACGGCGGCCGUAACUAUAACGGUCCUAAGGUAGCGAAAUUCCUUGUCGGUUAAAUACCGACCUGCAUGAAUGGCGUAACGAGAUGGGAGCUGUCUCAAAGAGGGAUCCAGUGAAAUUGUAGUGGAGGUGAAAAUUCCUCCUACCCGCGGCAAGACGGAGAGACCCCGUGGACCUUUACUACAGCUUGACACUGCUAUUUGGAUAAAGAUGUGCAGGAUAGGUGGGAGGCUUUGAAGCUAGGACGCCAGUUCUAGCAGAGCCAUUGUUGAGAUACCACUCUUCUUUAUUUGGGUAGCUAACUAGCCUAAGUUAUCCUUAGGUAGGACAAUGUCUGGUGGGUAGUUUGACUGGGGCGGUCGCCUCCCAAAUAAUAACGGAGGCUUACAAAGGUUGGCUCAGAACGGUUGGAAAUCGUUCGUAGAGUAUAAAGGUAUAAGCCAGCUUAACUGCAAGACAUACAAGUCAAGCAGAGACGAAAGUCGGUCUUAGUGAUCCGGUGGUUCUGUGUGGAAGGGCCAUCGCUCAAAGGAUAAAAGGUACCCCGGGGAUAACAGGCUGAUCUCCCCCAAGAGCUCACAUCGACGGGGAGGUUUGGCACCUCGAUGUCGGCUCAUCGCAUCCUGGGGCUGGAGCAGGUCCCAAGGGUAUGGCUGUUCGCCAUUUAAAGCGGUACGCGAGCUGGGUUCAGAACGUCGUGAGACAGUUCGGUCCCUAUCUGCCGUGGGCGUAAGAAGAUUGAAGAGAUUUGACCCUAGUACGAGAGGACCGGGUUGAACAAACCACUGGUGUAGCUGUUGUUCUGCCAAGAGCAUCGCAGCGUAGCUAAGUUUGGAAAGGAUAAACGCUGAAAGCAUCUAAGCGUGAAGCCAACUCUAAGAUGAAUCUUCUCUAAGCUCUCUAGAAGACUACUAGUUUGAUAGGCUGGGUGUGUAAUGGAUGAAAGUCCUUUAGCUGACCAGUACUAAUAGAGCGUUUGGCUUAUCUUUAAUAAAGCAU
rnacentral:rRNA from 3 species